rnacentral:rRNA from 1 species
UGCAGUCGAGCGGUAGAGAGAAGCUUGCUUCUCUUGAGAGCGGCGGACGGGUGAGUAAUGCCUAGGAAUCUGCCUGGUAGUGGGGGAUAACGUUCGGAAACGGACGCUAAUACCGCAUACGUCCUACGGGAGAAAGCAGGGGACCUUCGGGCCUUGCGCUAUCAGAUGAGCCUAGGUCGGAUUAGCUAGUUGGUGAGGUAAUGGCUCACCAAGGCGACGAUCCGUAACUGGUCUGAGAGGAUGAUCAGUCACACUGGAACUGAGACACGGUCCAGACUCCUACGGGAGGCAGCAGUGGGGAAUAUUGGACAAUGGGCGAAAGCCUGAUCCAGCCAUGCCGCGUGUGUGAAGAAGGUCUUCGGAUUGUAAAGCACUUUAAGUUGGGAGGAAGGGUUGUAGAUUAAUACUCUGCAAUUUUGACGUUACCGACAGAAUAAGCACCGGCUAACUCUGUGCC